AUACGUAGGGGGCGAGCGUUGUCCGGAUUUACUGGGCGUAAAGGGUGAGUAGGCGGUCAUGUAAGUCAGAUGUAAAAGGCGUAGGCUCAACUUACGUAAGCAUUUGAAACUGUGUGACUUGAGUGCAGGAGAGGUAAGCGGAAUUCCUAGUGUAGCGGUGAAAUGCGUAGAUAUUAGGAGGAACACCAGUGGCGAAGGCGGCUUACUGGACUGUAACUGACGCUGAGUCACGAAAGCGUGGGUAGCAAACAGGAUUAGAUACCCUGGUAGUCCACGCUGUAAACGAUGAGUGCUAGGUGUUGGGUAGCGAUACUCAGUGCCGAAGUAAACACAAUAAGCACUCCGCCUGGGGAGUACGGUCGCAAGACUGAA
rnacentral:rRNA from 1 species